rnacentral:rRNA from 1 species
GAUGAACGUUGGCGGCGUGCCUAAUACAUGCAAGUAGAACGCUGAAGGAGGAGCUUGCUCUUCUGGAUGAGUUGCGAACGGGUGAGUAACGCGUAGGUAACCUGCCUGGUAGCGGGGGAUAACUAUUGGAAACGAUAGCUAAUACCGCAUGACAACAGUUAUUGCAUGAUAACUGUUUAAAAGGGGCAACUGCUCCACUACCAGAUGGACCUGCGUUGUAUUAGCUAGUUGGUGAGGUAACGGCUCACCAAGGCGACGAUACAUAGCCGACCUGAGAGGGUGAUCGGCCACACUGGGACUGAGACACGGCCCAGACUCCUACGGGAGGCAGCAGUAGGGAAUCUUCGGCAAUGGACGGAAGUCUGACCGAGCAACGCCGCGUGAGUGAAGAAGGGUUUCGGAUCGUAAAGCUCUGUUGUAAGAGAAGAACGAGUGUGAGAGUGGAAAGUUCACACUGUGACGGUAGCUUACCAGAAAGGGACGGCUAACUACGUG